UGUUGAUAUUCCUGUACUAUCAUAUGACAGAACUGUGGGGACGCAGAAAGAGAGCCUGGGCCGGGAAAGGGAAAACCGGUGCAAGCGGGGUAGGAGUCGUGCAGGCAAAUCCGCACGGCAAUCCGAAGACGUGAAGCGGAGCGAACUAAAGUAGCGAAGCAGGUGAGCUGGCUGCCAAGAAAAGCCGCUAUUGUUCAUAUGAUACCCGUACCGUAAACCGACACAGGUGGAUGAGGAGAGAAUCCUAAGGCCGGCGGGAGAAGCAUUGUUAAGGAACUCGGCAAAAUGACCCCGUAACUUCGGGAGAAGGGGUGCCUGCGAGAGCAGGCCGCAGAGAAUAGGCUCAAGCAACUGUUUAGCAAAAGCACAGGUCUAUGCGAAACCGAAAGGUGAGGUAUAUGGGCUGACGCCUGCCCGGUGCUGGAAGGUUAAGAGGAGAUGUCAGGAAACGAAGCAUUGAAUUUAAGCCCCAGUAAACGGCGGCCGUAACUAUAACGGUCCUAAGGUAGCGAAAUUCCUUGUCGGGUAAGUUCCGACCCGCACGAAAGGCGUAAUGAUUUGAGCGCUGUCUCGACAAUGCACCCGGUGAAAUUGAAGUACCAGUGAAGAUGCUGGUUACCUGCGCCAGGACGGAAAGACCCCAUGGAGCUUUACUCCAGCUUGAUACUGGGAUCCGAUGCUGUAUGUACAGGAUAGGUGGGAGGCUGAGAAGCGGUGACGCCAGUUGCCGCAGAGCCGAUGUUGGGAUACCACCCUUGCAGUAUUGGAUUUCUAACCAGCUGCCGUGACCCGGCAGUGGGACAAUGUCUGGCGGGGAGUUUGACUGGGGCGGUCGCCUCCGAAAGGGUAUCGGAGGCGCUCAAAGGUUCCCUCAGGAUGGUUGGAAACCAUCCGAAGAGUGCAAAGGCAGAAGGGAGCUUGACUGCGACACCGACGGGUGGAGCAGGUACGAAAGUAGGACUUAGUGAUCCGGUGGUAUUAAGUGGGAAUGCCAUCGCUCAACGGAUAAAAGCUACCCUGGGAUAACAGGCUUAUCACUCCCAAGAGUUCACAUCGACGGAGUGGUUUGGCACCUCGAUGUCGGCUCAUCGCAUCCUGGGGCUGUAGCAGGUCCCAAGGGUUGGGCUGUUCGCCCAUUAAAGCGGUACGCGAGCUGGGUUCAGAACGUCGUGAGACAGUUCGGUCCCUAUCCGGCGCAGGCGGAGGAUAAUUGAGAGGAGCUGCCCUUAGUACGAGAGGACCGGGGUGGACGGACCGCUGGUGUAUCUGUUGGCUACCAAAGCCAUGGCAGAGUAGCCAAGUCCGGCAGGGAUAAACGCUGAAGGCAUCUAAGCGUGAAGCCCCCCUCAAGAUGAGUUAUCCCAAUAAGUAAGACCCCUUAGAGAGUAUGAGGUAGAUAGGUUUGAGGUGGAAGUGCAGUAAUGCAUGGAGCUGACAAAUACUAAUCGGUCGAGGGCUUAUCCA
rnacentral:rRNA from 1 species